AUUGAACGCUGGCGGCAGGCCUAACACAUGCAAGUCGAGCGGAUGAAGGGAGCUUGCUCCUGGAUUCAGCGGCGGACGGGUGAGUAAUGCCUAGGAAUCUGCCUGGUAGUGGGGGAUAACGUCCGGAAACGGGCGCUAAUACCGCAUACGUCCUGAGGGAGAAAGUGGGGGAUCUUCGGACCUCACGCUAUCAGAUGAGCCUAGGUCGGAUUAGCUAGUUGGUGGGGCAAAGGCCUACCAAGGCGACGAUCCAUAACUGGUCUGAGAGGAUGAUCAGUCACACUGGAACUGAGACACGGUCCAGACUCCUACGGGAGGCAGCAGUGGGGAAUAUUGGACAAUGGGCGAAAGCCUGAUCCAGCCAUGCCGCGUGUGUGAAGAAGGUCUUCGGAUUGUAAAGCACUUUAAGUUGGGAGGAAGGGCAGUAAGUUAAUACCUUGCUGUUUUGACGUUACCAACAGAAUAAGCACCGGCUAACUUCGUG
rnacentral:rRNA from 1 species